GUUUCAAUUCCUCAUAGGCAGGCUAUCGGCUAGAAAUCGUUUGUGUUGCAUACUUUCCAAACACCUG
rnacentral:sRNA from 1 species